rnacentral:lncRNA from 1 species
UUUCCGGUGAAGUCUGUCGUCGUCGCUGCUACUACCGCCGCCUGAACGUCUCCCUGCCUCAGGUAAGCCUCUCAACCUCUCGUUGUCUCUCUUNUUCCCUCUCUGCCUCUCGAUCUCUAUCAGUCUGUCUCUCUCUCUCAUCUUCCUCUAUUGGCAGCCAUCGCAGACCACUCUGGCGCAGGCGGCACUGGCGGUCGCCGCCGUCGGACGCGCCCCAUCGUUGUGGCUCGCAGCUGCUGCUGGUGCGCCCCAUCAGAUCUGCGGACGAAUCCAUGGUGGAUAAGAAAAUGGGAUCUGAAUCUUGAUUUUUUGUGUGUUUUUUAUCUUGAGAUGAAUCGACAGUGGGGGAAGGAAG